GUGAGUAACUUGCCCUUGACUUUGGGAUAACUUCAGGAAACUGGGGCUAAUACCGGAUAGGAGCUCCUGCUGCAUGGUGGGGGUUGGAAAGUUUCGGCGGUUGGGGAUGGACUCGCGGCUUAUCAGCUUGUUGGUGGGGUAGUGGCUUACCAAGGCUUUGACGGGUAGCCGGCCUGAGAGGGUGACCGGCCACAUUGGGACUGAGAUAACGGCCCAG
rnacentral:rRNA from 1 species